CAGAUUGAAGAAGAUGAGAUGGUAUUUUUUAUUCUUAAUGGUCUUGAUUAUGAUUACAACCCUGUUGUCUCUUCUGUUCUUGGCCGCUCAGAUCCAAUAUCCAUUCAAUGACUUGUAUGCACAAGUUAUGUCAUAUGAGC